ensembl:lncRNA
AGCUGAACCUCCUUUUCAGGUAAAAUAGGCCAGUCCAAACCAGUUUGAGUGCAUGUGAAGCUCAGCAGCUUGGCUUAAUAAAAAGAGGAACAAAGAGCACUUCAGGAACAUGCUAGAAGAUGGAAGCUUCCACUCACACCGAUCCUGUCCCAACCAAGAUAACAGCUCAGACAGGGGGAAACAUCUGUGCUCCUCUUCUCCAUGGAAAUCAUUUUCAAGGCUCGGUUACAGUUGUGAACAUAACUGGAGGUCAGGAAGCUUCUAGUUUAAGUAUAAGCAAUGUUCAGGCUGAAGGCUCUCCCGAUGCUCCUGCUCUCAGUGAAGGUAAGGUGUAUGUGCAUUGCUUAGAAAAUAGUAUUCAACGGUCUUUGUUUUUAUGUUUUAUUAUCAUGGA